AAAGGAAUAGACGGGGGCCCGCACAAGCGGAGGAACAUGUGGUUUAAUUCGAUGAUACGCGAGGAACCUUACCUGGGCUAGAACGCCGAGCGCAUAUGGGGGAAACCCCAUAGCCAGCAAUGGCGGUCGGCGAGGUGCUGCAUGGUUGUCGUCAGCUCGUGCCGUGAGGUGUCGGGUUAAGUCCCAUAACGAGCGCAACCCCUACUGUUAGUUGCCAGCGGAUCAUGCCGGGGACUCUAACGGAACUGCCAGCGUAAGCUGUGAGGAAGGUGGGGAUGACGUCAAAUCAGCACGGCCCUUACGUCCAGGGCUACACACGUGUUACAAUGGCCGGUACAGAGGGCAGCCACCCCGCGAGGGGGCGCGAAUCCUCAAAGCCGGUCCCAGUUCGGAUCGGAGUCUGCAACCCGACUCCGUGAAGCUGGAUUCGCUAGUAAUCGCGCAUCAGCCACGGCGCGGUGAAUACGUUCCCGGGCCUUGUACACACCGCCCGU
rnacentral:rRNA from 1 species